rnacentral:rRNA from 1 species
AGAGAGAGACAUGCGCGCAUAUCAAUAAGCGGAGGAAAAGAAACUAACAAGGAUUCCCUUAGUAACGGCGAGUGAAGCGGGAAGAGCUCAAAUUUGAAAUCUUCAAGGUUUUACCUUGACGAAUUGUAGUUUAAAGAAGUGUUUUCUGCUGAAGUUUUGGUAAAAGUUCUUUGGAAUAGGACAUCAUAGAGGGUGAGAAUCCCGUAUUUGACCAUUAUUUUCAGCUUUGUGAUACACUUUCAAAGAGUCGGAUUGUUUGGGAAUGCAGUCCAAAAUGGGUGGUAAAUUUCAUCUAAAGCUAAAUAUUGGCGAGAGACCGAUAGCGAACAAGUACCGUGAGGGAAAGAUGAAAAGAACUUUGAAAAGAGAGUUAAACAGUACGUGAAAUUGUCAAAAGGGAAGCGUUUGACACCAGUGUUGUUUUCUCGAAAAUCAAUUAAAAAUGGCUCGAUUUUGUAUUGUUGAGACCUUAAAAGCUCACUGUACAUUUUUCGUGUCUUUUUUAAUGCACUUUUCGUUUAACAAGUCAACAUCAGUUUCUUUUGUUGUAAAAGGGUCAUUGGGAAGGUGGCUUUCUUUUCGGAGAAAGUGUUUAUAGCCUUUGGCCUCUGCAAUCGAAGAGACUGAGGUCUGCAGCGUAGACUCUUCGGGGUUAGAUACAUUUGUGCUAAGUUAUAGCUUUUUAUAGACAACUUGUUGACUAUAAUUAGUCUUGUAGCUUACUCGCUUAUGCUAUUUUACCUACGCUUAGGAUGUUGAAGAUGUAGCACAUCAU